rnacentral:rRNA from 1 species
GUGGGGAAUCUUCCACAAUGGACGAAAGUCUGAUGGAGCAACGCCGCGUGAGUGAAGAAGGGUUUCGGCUCGUAAAGCUCUGUUGUCGGGGACGAAUGUGCAGUAUUUGAAUAAAGUAGUGCAAUGACGGUACCUGACGAGGAAGCCACGGCUAACUACGUGCCAGCAGCCGCGGUAAUACGUAGGUGGCAAGCGUUGUCCGGAAUUAUUGGGCGUAAAGGGAGCGCAGGCGGGAAGGUAAGUCAGUCUUAAAAGUGCGGGGCUCAACCCCGUGAUGGGAUCGAAACUAUCUUUCUUGAGUGCAGGAGAGGAAAGUGGAAUUCCUAGUGUAGCGGUGAAAUGCGUAGAUAUUAGGAGGAACACCAGUGGCGAAGGCGACUUUCUGGACUGUAACUGACGCUCAUGCACGAAAGCGUGGGGAGCAAACAGGAUUAGAUACCCUGGUAGUCC